CAUGCAAGUCGAACGAGAGAUGAGGAGCUUGCUCUUCAAAUCGAGUGGCGAACGGGUGAGUAACGCGUGAGGAACCUGCCUCAAAGAGGGGGACAACAGUUGGAAACGACUGCUAAUACCGCAUAAGCCCACGGCUCGGCAUCGAGCAGAGGGAAAAGGAGCAAUCCGCUUUGAGAUGGCCUCGCGUCCGAUUAGCUAGUUGGUGAGGUAACGGCCCACCAAGGCGACGAUCGGUAGCCGGACUGAGAGGUUGAACGGCCACAUUGGGACUGAGACACGGCCCAGACUCCUACGGGAGGCAGCAGUGGGGAAUAUUGCACAAUGGGGGAAACCCUGAUGCAGCGACGCCGCGUGGAGGAAGAAGGUCUUCGGAUUGUAAACUCCUGUUGUUGAGGAAGAUAAUGACGGUACUCAACAAGGAAGUGACGGCUAACUACGUGCCAGCAGCCGCGGUAAAACGUAGGUCACAAGCGUUGUCCGGAAUUACUGGGUGUAAAGGGAGCGCAGGCGGGAGAACAAGUUGGAAGUGAAAUCCAUGGGCUCAACCCAUGAACUGCUUUCAAAACUGCUUUUCUUGAGUAGUGCAGAGGUAGGCGGAAUUCCCGGUGUAGCGGUGGAAUGCGUAGAUAUCGGGAGGAACACCAGUGGCGAAGGCGGCCUACUGGGCACCAACUGACGCUGAGGCUCGAAAGUGUGGGUAGCAAACAGGAUUAGAUACCCUGGUAGUCCACACCGUAAACGAUGAUUACUAGGUGUUGGAGGAUUGACCCCUUCAGUGCCGCAGUUAACACAAUAAGUAAUCCACCUGGGGAGUACGACCGCAAGGUUGAAACUCAAAGGAAUUGACGGGGG
rnacentral:rRNA from 1 species